rnacentral:lncRNA from 1 species
CUGCCUGCCUCAGUCUCCCAAAGUGCUGGGAUUACAGGCAUGAGUCACCGUGCCCGGCCUCCUCUCUCUUCUUAGCCACUGUUUUCCCCCGUAAGCCUGAAGCAGUUCCUGGCACUUGUUCCCAUGGGGAAGCGUCUGUGUAAGGGUAUGCUUCACCAGCACUGCCAAGGAAGUAGACUUUUCACUUUCUCUGGAUUUUUCUCUGCAACACCCUCUGAUCCCAUUGCCCCCAGAAUAGUAGGAAUUUUGAGUGAUACCUAGAUAGGAAAGCUCUUAGGAUUAAUGAAGAAACUGAGAUUUUCUUGGUGGGAGUUUGUGCUUUUAAAGGGAGUUGUUGCAAUUCAAUGGAACUCUGUAAUAACCACUGAAACUGUUACACAUUAGGCUUACUGACCCUAUCUCCUAUAACCCAUGAAAUAAAGACCUGAUAGUCACAUAGUUGUUUGCUAUUUGGGAGGAUCCUAAAAGUACAGCCUGAACAGUGACCCAAACCACAGCUGGCCUUGCCCAUGCUGAUGUGAGGAAGGAAUGGGUGGGGGCAACUAAGAAAUUGGGGGACAGAGUUCUCUGUGCUAGGUAUCCUAGGACAAGCCACCCAGCCACACAGAGACCCCCCGCUUCCCCCCCACAGAACAGUUCUGGAUGAUAAAAUGCCUGCCUGGAAUGGAGAAUCAGAUGAGAAGAUGUUUGCAAAGGGGUUUGAGAUCAGUUAGCGGGUGGUGAUGACAAUGUUGAUACCGUGGGUGUGUGACUGCCAGGAGCUGUGAAGCAGAGGGUGGAGUGUGCGGUGGUCAAAGCCUGGUUCUGGGAUCUCUAGCUUUCCAGGGGCUUAGGCUCCGCCUUAGCAGAAAAGAAGGAAAGGAAAUUGAGAAGGAAGUCAGGUGUCCCCUGCCCCUCACACUUGGGGAUGGCUGACUUGGAGGACAGUGGGGAAGGAGUGGUGAUAACAGAUGUGAGCUUGCUGUGUCCACUAAAAAGGUCACGGCUAUUUUUAGGAAGUAGGUGACAAGGCAUGUUCCUGUAGAACUGCUUAUUACUGAGAACCCACUGUUGGCCUCGCCCUGCGUGGUGUGCUUAAAAGGAGAGACCGCCCCCACUCACCCUAGAGUCAUCCACCUGGUGUCCCUGAGACAUGGGACACUGGAUGAGGACCAGGUUUGGAGGAUGAAGAAGAUCAUGUAUUUGGUUUUGGACAUGUUGUGUUUGAGGUGUCUUUGAGAUACCAAAUAAGCUGGUGGGUCUGGGGCUCAGGAGGCGUCUUGGCUAGACAGACAUUUGUCUAGGUUGUGUUUGUAUUUGAAGUCAUGGGCACAGCGAGAUUGAAGAACUCACCUCGAACAGCUGAGUAAAGGAAGAUGAGCCUAUAAAGGACCCAGAAAAAGAGCGACCUGAGAGGGGCCCAGAAAGCCAGGACAGAGUUGUAUCCCAGGGGCCAGGGUGAGUCUGCUUCGUGGGAUGGAGUGGUCAGCUUGGCAUCGCGGCUGUGGUGAGUGAUAUGGAGGAGAUGUGGCUGCCUUCACUGCUUUGGUGGGAUGAUGUGAGCAGAAGCGAGGUUGGAGUGAAUGGGUGAGGAGUAGCAGGACGUGAGGAUCUGAUGAUAGACAGGCUCUGAAAUGUUGGCUUUGA